rnacentral:rRNA from 1 species
AUUGAACGCUGGCGGCAGGCCUAACACAUGCAAGUCGAACGAGCGGCGGACGGGUGAGUAAUGUAUGGGGAUCUGCCCGAUAGUGGGGGAUAACUACUGGAAACGGUGGCUAAUACCGCAUACUAUCGGAUGAACCCCUAUGGGAUUAGCUAGUAGGUGGGGUAAAGGCUCACCUCGGCGACGACCUCUAGCUGGUCUGUGAGGAUGAUCAGCCAAAAUGGGCCUGAGACACGGCCCAGACGCCUACGGGAGGCAGCAGUGGGGAAUAUUGCACAAUGGGCGCAAGCCUGAUGCAGCCAUGCCGCGUGUAUGAAGAAGGCCUUAGGGUUGUAAAGUACUUUCAGCGGGGAGGCGUUACCCGCAGAAGAAGCACCGGCUAACUCCGUGCCAGCAGCCGCGGUAAUUC